CGCCCUCCGCAGACCUCCGCGCAGCGGCCGCGGGCGCGAGGGGAGGGGUCUGGAGCUCCCUCCGGCUGCCUGUCCCGCACCGGAGCCCGUGGGGUGGGGAGGUGUGCAGCCUGUGACAGACAGGGGCUUAGAGAUGCAAACAGACUCAGGGAGAGAAACAGAAGCUGAUUCUGUGACAGAAGCAGAUCUGUGCAGCACAGAUGCGGUGUGCGUGGGGAGGGGGUCGCCUGGGAGCGCAUUGCGGAGUGCUUGUGUGUGCAGAUUUUUCUCUGGGCUCAGGACUCAUUGUAUGUGGGUCAACACCUUCCUCCGUGACUGUGUUUUUGUUCUGAGCUGAGUUUUUUGGUUUGCCCUUAAAAAAAUAAUAAUUUGGCAUCCAGAGACUGGCAGACUGCCUCAGGGCCUGGACUGCGGAUAUAUUGUGUUCUGCUUGAGGUUUGGGGAGGAGGGCAGGCGGUAGGAAGGGAGAGGGGGAGCUGUUUGUCACACUUUGCUGUAGAGCUGAGAGCACCUGACAAGCUUAAGGAAGUCGUUGGGCUAUGUGGACAAGAAGGAGCCAGCUCCCAGCGGGUUCACAAGCUCUAUCGGAGUUGAAAGCGUGGUCAUGGCUCUAAGGAGCACCUCACGCCCUCCCUGUAGCUGUUAUUGCAGUUUCAGGCAGAGAUCCAGGAGCUGCAGAGGAAGGGAGAGGCACAAUAACCUACAUGGACCCAAGGGAGACAUGUGUUCCUUUAAAAAUGUGAACAGAAGGAAAAACAGAAUGUGUGCAACUGGGGGUCUGAGGAAAGACUGUUUUGAAAGAGGCUGUCAGGGAAUGGAAAGGGUUAAGCUUUUCAUCCUGAAGAACCUGCUUCCCAAAUCAGGCCUUCCUCCCAUCACUAGACCCUGAGCAGCAGCUGGUCCUAGAGACCCCCCUCGUACUGCGCUGCCACAGUCUCAUCCCAUUUCCAGCUCUGUAUUAACCACCAAGCUGCAGCGGAUGGGGCAAGACCUAAGCUCAUUAAUUUCCAGGUGGAGGAAAUGGAGGAGGGGCAGGUCCCUGCAGUAGAGGGAGGAGCAGAGAAAGGAGGCCAAGAGCUGGAUCCUUCUGCCCAGGAAGCCUGCUGCAUCCCUUCCCCCGAGCAUGGCAGAGGCCUGGCUUUGCAAGGCCAAGGCCAUAAGGGAUGCUUAGGAGAUUAAUUUGAUUCCUGACACAAUAAUCAAGCCCUAAGAGUCUCCACUGAAGCUUACUGAGGACUUCUUUCCUCUCCAAAGCCUCAGUCUAGCCUGCUAAAUAAAUUAGUAUUCAGUGAUGCCUUGGAUCAGGGCCCCUCCCCGGCCUCAGUUUCCCCAAAUAUUUAUUAAGUACCUACUGUGUGCAAUCCUUGUGUAAUUAUUAACUCUUAGGCUCUUCAUUUGCCCUCCUAAAGCAGUGUUUAGAGUCAGGCAGAGGUUAAGUGUGUUGCACCUCACCUAGAUACUUCCAGAACCUUCUCUGGGUCUGCAGAAUGUGGCACAACCUGCUUGCCCCCGCAGAGAGAAAGCUGCAGUGCACAUCCUGCAGACUGCAGGUGCUGGGCUGCCUCUGGAGUCCCAGAAGGCAAGCUUGGCUGCAGGACAGAAAGGGAGAACAGCUUCUCUCACCCCUGAGCCUUCACAAGCCCUUGUCUAUUUGCCGUUGCCUUCAAAAUAUACCUCCCCCGAAACCAGUAGCUUUCUGAGUCCUGGUGUCCCCUCCGCCCUUUCUGGACAGGUUUGGGAAGAAGAAAGCAGUCAGUGCUGGGCCUUAUUGGGGUGUGAAGCGCCUUGCUCUGCCCCUUCUGCUCACUGUGAAGGCCGCUGGAUGCUUCUCUUAGGCAUGGUUUAAGCCUCCGAUUACUAAACCCCUUGCCCCACAAACGUCCACAUUGACGAGCCUCUUUUUAGUAACUGCUUCCCCGUAAUUCCUUCAGAGGUUGCUGUACCCUUCGCUGAUGUGCUGCCCUCCUGUAAAACCUCCAGAUGCCUUCCCACGUAAUGCCCCUUUCAGAUGCUUUAAGCUGAGAGCUUAAACCACAGGUACCAUGGCUGACGCCUGCCAGGUUUCUGCUGCAGAUAAUCUAUGAUGGGAGGGGCAUAUUUUUUACUUCAUUACUUAUGUAAACUCUUGUUCCAGAAAGCUUUAAUGUGUGUGGGAGUGUUCUGGGUCUAUUAGGUCUGUGCGCAUGGGUGUGGGCAUUUGCCUGUGUCCACCGGGUGGGUCUCAUUAUGAAAUGUAUGUUUAUGUAGGGCUUUAAUGGCUGAAAAUGGCAAAGAGAUGAAUAGACCACUUGGCCCCAUGUGUAAUUGCCAGGCCCCUUCUGUGCUCAAAUGAGGUGUCCGAGUGAAGGUCAGCCCUUCCCUUCUGUAUUUGGGGCCUAUUUAUGCCACCAGUAAUUUUAUAAGAAAUCUGAAUAGUUCUCCCCUUUGAGUGCAUUUAACUCUUUAGUAUCUUCUCUCUUACCUAUUUGAGCCCCUCUAGCUACAGUCUGGCUUAAAUGAAAGGGGAAUUAUAUGCUUAAGAAAAAGUAGGACACGGUUGAGGCAGUUUGCUGACUGAAUACGCGAAGAAGGACCUGAUGGGCUCAUAUGCACCACUGCCAUCACAGUCCCCAUCGUGAUGCAAGCUUAUAUGAUUCUUGAGGAAACAGCCCAGAUCUCCUCUUAAGCGGAAAAGAGAUUGACCUUCUAGCAGAGGCAAAGGAAUGGAGUCUUCUGGGGGCAGCUGCAAAGCGUUCUCCCUAGGACAGAUGGAGCCUCCCUUUCCUCAUCUACUCUGUGGGUGGUUUCAGGGCCCACGAGUCAACAUGAGGAGUUGUGCUGGUGGUAUGUGUGUUGGAGGCUGGGCUGGCUGAUUCACAGUGACGAGGAUGUCAAUAAUAACAAGAAUGAGAAUGAUGGUACCUAAUAAAGACUUUUUUUCCCAAG
rnacentral:lncRNA from 1 species